GAUGAACGCUGGCGGCGUGCCUAAUACAUGCAAGUCGAGCGAACAGACGAGGAGCUUGCUCCUCUGACGUUAGCGGUGGACGGGUGAGUAACACGUGGAUAACCUACCUAUAAGACUGGGAUAACUUCGGGAAACCGGAGCUAAUACCGGAUAACAUGUUGAACCGCAUGGUUCAACAGUGAAAGACGGUCUUGCUGUCACUUAUAGAUGGAUCCGCGCCGCAUUAGCUAGUUGGUAAGGUAAGGGCUUACCAAGGCAACGAUGCGUAGCCGACCUGAGAGGGUGAUCGGCCACACUGGAACUGAGACACGGUCCAGACUCCUACGGGAGGCAGCAGUAGGGAAUCUUCCGCAAUGAGCGAAAGCCUGACGGAGCAACGCCGCGUGAGUGAAGAAGGUCUUCGGAUCGUAAAACUCUGUUAUUAGGGAAGAACAAAUGUGUAAGUAACUAUGCACGUCUUGACGGUACCUAAUCAGAAAGCCACGGCUAACUACGUGCCAGCCGCCGCCGUAA
rnacentral:rRNA from 1 species